AUUGAACGCUGGCGGCAGGCCUAACACAUGCAAGUCGAGCGAGCGGCGGACGGGUGAGUAAUGUCUGGGAAACUGCCUGAUGGAGGGGGAUAACUACUGGAAACGGUAGCUAAUCCCCCAUACCAUCAGAUGUGCCCAGAUGGGAUUGGCGAGUAGGUGGGGAAACGGCUAACAUAGGCGACGAUCCCUAGCUGGUCUGAGAGGAUGACCAGCCAAACUGGAACUGAGACACGGUCCAGACUCCUACGUGAGGCAGCAGUGGGGAAUAUUGCACAAUGGGCGCAAGCCUGAUGCAGCCAUGCCGCGUGUGUGAAGAAGGCCUUCGGGUUGUAAAGCACUUUCAGCGGGGAGGCGUUACCCGCAGAAGAAGCACCGGCUAACUCCGUGCCAGCAGCCGCGGUAAUAC
rnacentral:rRNA from 1 species